AUACGUAGGUGGCAAGCGUUGUCCGGAUUUACUGGGCGUAAAGCGCGCGUAGGCGGGAUGGCAAGUCAGAUGUGAAAUCUCCGGGCUCAACCCGGAACCUGCAUUUGAAACUGUCGUUCUUGAGUAUCGGAGAGGCAAGCGGAAUUCCUAGUGUAGCGGUGAAAUGCGUAGGUAUUAGGAGGAACACCAGUGGCGAAGGCGGCUUGCUGGACGACAACUGACGCUGAGGCGCGAAAGCGUGGGGAGCAAAAAGGAUUAGAUCCCCUGGUAGUCCACGUCGUAAACGAUGAAUACUAGGUGUGGGGGGACUGACCCCCUCCGUGCCGCAGUUAACACAAUAAGUAUUCCACCUGGGGAGUACGGCCGCAAGGUUGAAACUCAAAGGAAUUGACGGGG
rnacentral:rRNA from 1 species